AGAGACGAAAGCUAAAGGAGUGAUUAGGAUUAGAUACCCUAGUAAUUUUAGCCGUAAACGAUGGAAACUCACUGCCGAGCGAAAUACAACGAGCGGUGGUCAAGCUAACGCGUGAAGUUUUCCGCCUGGGGAUUACGCUUGCAAAAGUGAAACUCAAAGGAAUUGACGGGGACCCGCACAAGCGGUGGAGUAUGUGGUUUAAUUCGAUGCAACACGAAGAACCUUACCAGGGUUUGAAAUCAUUUCAAAACUCCUUGAAAGAGGAGCCUCCUUCGGGAUGAAAUGACAGGUGGUGCAUGGCUGUCGUCAGCUCGUGUUGUGAAAUGUCAAGUUAAGUCUUGUAACGAGCGCAACCCAUGUCUCUUGUUGCUGUUUACAGUGCUUAAGAGAAACUGCCGAUCAACAUCGGAGGAAGGUGUGGAUGAUGUCAAGUCAGCAUGCCCCUUACAUCCUGGGCUACACACGUACUACAAUGGUCGAGACAAAGGGUCGCUAACCUGCGAAGGUAUGCCAAUCUCAUAAACUCGAUCUCAGUUCGGAUUGUACUCUGCAACUCGAGUACAUGAAGGUGGAAUCGCUAGUAAUCGCUGGUCAGCUAUACAGCGGUGAAUACGUUCCCGGGUCUUGUACACACUGCCCGUCACACCAUGGAAGUCGACUCUUCCCUAAGUCGUUACUCGAACCCAUUGGGACGAGGAUGCCGAAGGCAGGGUUGGUGACUAGGGUGAAGUCGUAACAAGGUAGCCGUACUGGAAGGUGUGGCUG
rnacentral:rRNA from 1 species